rnacentral:misc_RNA from 1 species
GGACUACAGGGGUUUCUAAUCCUGUUUGCUCCCCACGCUUUCGCACCUCAGUGUCAGUAUCAGUCCAGGUGGUCGCCUUCGCCACUGGUGUUCCUUCCUAUAUCUACGCAUUUCACCGCUACACAGGAAAUUCCACCACCCUCUACCGUACUCUAGCCAGACAGUUUUGGAUGCAGUUCCCAGGUUGAGCCCAGGGCUUUCACAUCCAACUUAUCAAACCACCUACGCGCGCUUUACGCCCAGUAAUUCCGAUUAACGCUUGCACCCUCUGUAUUACCGCGGCUGCUGGCACU